GACGAACGCUGGCGGCGUGCUUAACACAUGCAAGUCGAACGGAAAGGCCCUGCUUGCCGGGUACUCGAGUGGCGAACGGGUGAGUAACACGUGGGUGAUCUGCCCUGCACUUCGGGAUAAGCCUGGGAAACUGGGUCUAAUACCGGAUAGGAGCCAUUUUUAGUGUGAUGGUUGGAAAGUUUUUUCGGUGUAGGAUGAGCUCGCGGCCUAUCAGCUUGUUGGUGGGGUAAUGGCCUACCAAGGCGGCGACGGGUAGCCGGCCUGAGAGGGUGGACGGCCAAAAUGGGACUGGGAUACGGCCCAGACUCCUACGGGAGGGAGCAGGGGGGAAUAUUGCACAAUGGGCGCAAGCCUGAUGCAGCGACGCCGCGGGGGGGAUGACGGCCUUCGGGUUGGAAACUCCUUUCGCUAGGGACGAAGCUUUUUGUGACGGUACCUAGAUAAGAAGCACCGGCUAACUACGUG
rnacentral:rRNA from 1 species